CUACGGGGGGCAGCAGUCGAGGAAAUUUUACAAUGCUCGAAAGAGUGAUAAAAUAAACCAGAGUGUUUCUCCUAGAGAAACUUUUAUCUAUUGUAAAAAGAUAGAUGAAUAGGACUGGGCAAGACCGGUGCCAGCCGCCGCGGUAAUACCGGCGGUCCGAGUUGCAUCCACAUUUAUUGGGUCUAAAACAUCCGUAGCUUGUUUUACAAGUCUCUUGUGAAAUCCCAUGUCUCAAAUAUGGGGCGUGCAAGAGAUACUGUAUUACUAGAGACCGGGAGACGCAAAGAGUAUGAUUGAGGUAGCGGUAAAAUGUGUUAAUCUUGAUCAGACUAACAAUGGCGAAGGCACUUUGCGAGCACGGAUCUGACAGUAAGGGAUGAAGGCUAGGGGCGCAAAAGGGAUUAGAUACCCGCGUAGUC
rnacentral:rRNA from 1 species